GACGAACCGUGCGAACGUUGUUCGGAUUCACUGGGCUUAAAGGGCGCGUAGGCGGGUGGUCAAGUCGGGGGUGAAAUCUUUCAGCUCAACUGGAAAAGUGCCUUCGAUACUGACUGUCUUGAGGGAGGUAGGGGCAUGUGGAACUUCCGGUGGAGCGGUGAAAUGCGUAGAUAUCGGAAGGAACGCCGGUGGCGAAAGCGACGUGCUGGACCUCUUCUGACGCUGAGGCGCGAAAGCUAGGGGAGCAAACGGG
rnacentral:rRNA from 1 species